rnacentral:rRNA from 1 species
AUUGAACGCUGGCGGCAUGCCUUACACAUGCAAGUCGAACGGCAGCACGGUUGCUUGCACCUGGUGGCGAGUGGCGAACGGGUGAGUAAUACAUCGGAACAUGUCCUGUAGUGGUGGAUAGCCCGGCGGAAGCCGGAUUAAUACCGCAUACGAACUACGGAUGAAAGCGGGGGCCCUUCGGGCCUCGCGCUAUCGGGUUGGCAGAUGCCUGAUUAGCUAGUUGGUGGGGUAAAGGCCUACCAAGGCGACGAUCAGUAGCUGGUCUGAGAGGACGAUCAGCCACACUGGGACUGAGACACGGCCCAGACUCCUACGGGAGGCAGCAGUGGGGAAUUUUGGACAAUGGGCGAAAGCCUGAUCCAGCAAUGCCGCGUGUGUGAAGAAGGCCUUCGGGUUGUAAAGCACUUUUGUCCGGAAAGAAAUCCUUGGGCCUAAUACGGUCGGGGGAUGACGGUACCGGAAGAAUAAGCACCGGCUAACUACGUG